UGCGAAGAUCUUCAGGAGUCUAGACAAGCAAAGACACUUGUCAAGUUUUGAAUUUACUGCCUAGUAGAUCUGUGGUUUAUUUUACAGCAAGAAGGGAGGGCACUGUCUGAUAGGGUUGGAGACGGAUUAUUUGGACGCACUGGAACUCAACUCAGGGUGCAGCAGCAAAGACCCAACGCUUCCUCUUCUUCCUCAACCCUGCCUGCAUGUUAAUGCAGCAGCACGGAAUAGAAUGAGACAGCCAGCUUGACUGCGAGGCGUUUUGUUAUCAUAGAAAUCAAAGCAACGAGUCUUCAUCGCUGGGAAAUUUCCACAGAUUUCUACAGAAAGGCUCAUACAGGUGACAAGAGCUCCCAACUUCACCGCACCGCCUGGAACCAGCGCGUUUUAUCCACAGGGGGUGAGCUGCGUGAGACCCUCACUGCUCCUCUUCUUCUUUAAUGUAAAUUUCUUUUUUUUUUUCCAUUUUGACGCGACAUUUCACUGCGCCGAUGUGCAUGCGGCCACGCAAUGACGCACUUGCGGCUUUUGGCCGCGUUUCAGUGAUCUCAUUUCGGAUUGUUCUCAUUUUAAGGGGUGAGUUUAGAGAUGGCGCACCGGAGUGUCCCGUUUUCUGACAAGUUUCCGCUGCUGUUUGGUAUGUUCGUCAUGUCCGCCCGGCUUCACGCGCGCCUCUCCGUGUAGAACCAGACGCGGAUUCAGAAGUUGGCCGGGAAUAACAAUAAGAGGAGUGCGCAGCUCGGAGGACGAAGAGCAGAAGUGACAGCGGCGUUCAUGGGGUGCUGGGCGGCUGAAUUUACUACCAUCAUCCGCAUCUCUUUGCGAGGAAUAAAAACUGCGAGGGGGGUUCUGCUACUGCCCACCCUCUCUUCAUCCACACACUUUUAAAUUUUUAAAACAUUUUCUGUAGUGAAUCCAGGCUUCUGGCGCCGCAGCUGCGCAAAACUUGGCCAGAUCUGGGAACAUUGUCGCUUGUUUGCGCAGCCUGGAUGGAUAUGCGGCUGACGGAGGGAAUUUAUUAUUAUUAUUAUUAAAAAAAAAGCAAGGGGGGAUUGUUAUCAGUCCCUCGUCCAUUAUACCCUCAAAAUGGAUGCCUACGUCAGGCUUUGGGGACGCCACUGGAUAAUCGGCAUCUGAGAAGCGCUUACAGGCGUUUAAAGUUUGGAUAAAUCCGAAGCGGCUGACAGGCUAGAAUGCAGUCUGCGGCCAAGACGCUGUCCUCAGGUGGAGGGGCGUCGCUCUGCUGCCUACUUCUCCUCUGGAUCAUCUACUCGCACUUGCUCAGAGAAGGCCAGUUGGUGGUGGGGACCUGUGAGAUAGUGAUGCUCAACAGAGACAGCAGUGUUCCGAGGCGGACAAUCGCACGGCAGACCGCGCGCUGCGCCUGUCGGAGAGGCCAGAUUGCCGGCACCACCAGGGCGAGGCCAGCUUGUGUAGACGCGCGAAUCGUGCGGAGCCGUCAGUGGUGUGAGAUGGCUCCCUGCAUGGAGGGGGAGGUCUGCAGCCUCCUGUUCAACAGAUCUGGCUGGACCUGCACUAGGGGCAGUGGUCGCAUCAAGACCGUCACGAAAAGUUCUCAGGAUUUGGUGGCCGAAGGUCGGAAAACGUGGAGCGGAUCGGAGUCUCAGGACUGGAGGCGGAGGCUUGAACUGUCAUAGGAGAUGGAGCGGGAGCAGAGCCUUUGCCCAGGGAGCCGUCGUAGGACAAAGGGGAAAACAGCAAUCAGCAACAGCCCCACAAAUGAGAGGCCAAACUGCGCUGCGCAGCCUUUGGCUCUGAGGACCCGAGACGCUUGGCGGAUUCGUGAAAUGCAGCAAGUCUCUUUAUCUCAUCGCCAGGGUCACAAACAUGUUUUUUUCAAAACAAAGCAGUGGCCAGUCACUAUAUCUGUAUCCAUUCACUAACGGGCCUCACAAAAUCUCCUCAAGGACUGACCUCCCAGGACAAAAAAAAAGCUUCUCCAGUCACUCCAGUGACUCUUGGGAUAAUUCUGAGAAGCCUCAGCUGAGCCUCUCAAUACACCAACAGCAUCAAACUUUCACCACAGACUGAUUUACUAAGUCAUCACUGAGAGAGAAAGAAAAUUCCCUAUGAGGAACAGUUUUUAGUGGAGCAUUGACUUUCUGGCCUUUUUAUGCUGUUGUGUCCUCCACCACCUGAUUUCUAAGGGAAGGAUCCUUGAAGAUCUUUUUAUUCGUACCUUUUGUGACUGGAUUCAAACUUAUGAGGAGCUUCUUUUAAGAGUCAGCCGUUUUAGCGUCCUUACAUUCCCCUCCAUGAAGCCGUAAUAACCCACUCACAUUUCAUUAACAACACUUUGCUGCUAAAGAGCUGUGAUUUUACUGAGGCUGAGCCAAACACUGUAGUCUGCCAGAUUAGAGCCUUUAACACCUUUCUCUCGUUUGACUCGGUGGAACUUUACAAGGCUGAGGAGAACACCGCAGGACCAUCACUGGGAAGCAGUGAGGAACGUCACAUAGACAACAGGAAGACGUCAUUGUGUAUGGCUCCUUGCUGAAAGUCAGUAUUAUGUGGACGCUUUGGUUGACUUAGUUUGUGUCUUUUGCUUUUUUUUUUUUAUGUGGCACAAACAUAGCAUAGCGGAGUAGUUUUUGUCAAUGAACCUGAGCCAUAUUGCCCACACCACUGGGAGUAUUUAGCAAAUGUGGACCCCCAGCUCAUUUUAUGUGUUUUGGGAGAUGGUGCAUGUCUGCAUCUGUCCAUGUGUGUGAUUCUCUGCGGGGGUGAACGUUUAUGUGUGUGUGUGCGUGCCGGGGUGUGUGUGUGCAUGAGUACAACAGGAAACACACUGUGAAAUAAGUCCUAUCCAAUGCAUUAUUCAUACUCUUGUAUAUUUUUGGGACAUGCCCAGACUAGAGCUCACCAUCUGGCGAAGAGAAUUUCACAAAUGUUGGAUCCAGUUCAUAUCCAUGGUUUCACCUUUUGCUUUUUUUCCCCCUCUUCCUGUAGUAUUUACAGAUAUUUUUACUGAAGUAACAAAUGGUUAAACCUGGAUCACAACUGGUCAAAUCAGUUAAAUCCUCUAAUCAAGCUCUUGUUUAUGUGAUUAAUAUUAUUUCUGAAUCCUAUCAAAAUUGAAUAUAUUUUGAUAUACACGUCCAGCUCUUUGCAGGACGUGGUAUUUGCAGAUAUUGAUGAUAGUGUGACUUAUUUUAAAAAUGUAUGUAGCUCAAUAUAUAUCAGACAAAUAUAUUUUAUGUUAUCAUUAAAGGGCAGCAGAACUGUUUGAUUUGGGUGGACACAAAAACAUAAGCACUUCUAACAAUACUCAGCCUGAACAUUAUAAAAUUAGUCAACAUUCUCCUACAUUUUGAAGAUUAUUUUAUUUUUUGUUUUCAUUUCUGGCAAGAAAACAGGAACAGUCUGCUUUAUGAUGCUGAAGUGUUUUAGUUCAUGUGUCCAUUCCAUUUGUUUAAUUCUUUCUACUCAAAAACAAAACAUCCUCCUGUACGUCUCCAUUGACUGUUUGCAUUCGAGGAUAUAAAUAAUGUCUGUUUCGGAUGAACAUGGCGUAUUUGUGAGAAUCGAUUUACACCACUCAAAUCCUGUGGGUUGCGACAGUUUUGUAGACUGUUCAAACAUUGGUUUAGGCUUUAUAGCUCGGUUUAAGGCAUUAUGUGUACAAAGGCUUGUAAGAAAUGCAAAAUAGCAAGUGUGUUUAUGAGAGAUUUGCUUCGUGUGUGUCUGUUUUUUCCAGGUCAGCUAUGGUCUGUAUUGUGAGAAAAUAUCCAUUUCCAUCUAAUUCAAUGGUUUUGAUUUCAUGUAGCCUUUUUAAUCAUUCCUUUGGUUUUGCACUCUGUGUAAAUAAAUUGUCGCUUUGAUUUGACUCCAUGCCACUUUCGGUGCUGCUGCAGAUGGAUUCAUUAAAGCUUUUGAACUGGAACGUAGUUAGAAGUACAAAUGAAUUUUUUUUUUCCUAUUGGUGAAAACUGGAAAUGGUGCAGUAUUAGAUUUUGACAGUAUGGUCAUCUUGAUUAACUUACAUUUGUUUCACUGAAUUAUGCUAUUUAUACUAUUAUGGAAUGCAUUUCAAUAGUUUAGGAAAAUACUGAUUUGAGUUUCGAACUGUCUACCAUCACAUGUGACAUUGUAGCCCCACCAAUCUGAUCUUCACAUAAUCCUGAUGGAUUAUUGAACCCGUUGAAAAAGUGUUAAAGACACAUGUGCUAUUGCAGCAUUGACAACAAUAUCCAACAGUUAAGGUAGUGUCCCGACUUCUCUUUCUACUCUAUGCAGACUUUCUGUCUGCAGAAAUGAAGAUUUACUUACUAAGGUAAGUAAAUCUUCAUUUCUGCAGACAGAAAUUCAGCUGAGGGCUUGGAAAAUUUCCAACUGAUGUUCUCUGGCUUAUUUGAUCAUGCCAGCUAAUAAUCAUUGAAGCACUUGGGGAAAAUUAACAUUUUUCUCCAGAAUAUCUGCAUUCACUCUUAUUUUACGGCAUAUAUUAUUUAUAUAAGUUGUAAUACUGAUGCUGUGAAAUAUUUGGCGUCCAAGAAGCUGGAUUUGACUAAACUCACAUUCUUUAUGCUUCAGUUUUAGAUGUGUUACGGGUUCUGGAGUGUUAUUUACUUGAAGCCACGUCUUUUCUCUGAAUCACAAGGAAGAUUCACAACAACGUUUUGGGUAUACCUUUGUGAGCUUGCGACUAAGCUAUAUUCAUAAAUGAUCUCUAAAAAGCAAAAGUUUCUGCAAACGUUUUUUGCAGAAAACAAAAAUGUUGUUUUAAAAUUGGUAGAAAAAAGCACAGGGCCCCCUCUGCCACACAGCUGACUGACAACUUGUAGCAACAAGUAAGACGGAAACUUCAUGCUAUACUACAUGUGUCUAGAGAAAACUUUGCAUUGUCUCUAUUAUUGUAGUAAAAAAAGUUUAGGUCAUAA